UGAGGAAUAUUGGUCAAUGGACGCAAGUCUGAACCAGCCAUGCCGCGUGCAGGAUGACGGUCCUAUGGAUUGUAAACUGCUUUUGCACAGGAAGAAACAACAUUACGUGUAAUGUCUUGACGGUACUGUGAGAAUAAGGAUCGGCUAACUCCGUGCCAGCAGCCGCGGUAAUACGGAGGAUCCAAGCGUUAUCCGGAAUCAUUGGGUUUAAAGGUCCGUAGGCGGUUUAGUAAGUCAGUGGUGAAAGCCCAUCGCUCAACGGUGGAACGGCCAUUGAUACUGCUAGACUUGAAUUAUUAGGAAGUAACUAGAAUAUGUAGUGUAGCGGUGAAAUGCUUAGAGAUUACAUGGAAUACCAAUUGCGAAGGCAGGUUACUACUAAUGGAUUGACGCUGAUGGACGAAAGCGUGGGUAGCGAACAGGAUUAGGAUACCCUGGUAGUCCACGCCGUAAACGAUGGAUACUAGCUGUUGAAGCAAUUUCAG
rnacentral:rRNA from 1 species